UGUCUGGUCACUCCUUCCUUCCCUGUGACCGUUCCUUUGCCAUGCUGGAGAAAAGGCGUAAGGUAUCUACUCUCUACACCCCCAGCGAUGUCGCCGAGAGGAUCUGUGGAGCCAGGCAGCAGUAUCCAUUCAAAGUCAUUGAGAUGAAAUGUGCGGACUUCAGGCAGCUCCCUGAUGCAACACUAAAGCGUCCAUCUGGCUUCCUAAUCUCAUCCAUGAUGUGGUUGAAAGUGACAGCUGCUGAUCCAUGGUGUGUCCACACAAAAGGGAGCCACAGCCUCUACGAGGGAUGGAAGACCUGGCUCAUCACCAAACAGAGGAAGAAUCAACCACCUCCAGCUCCCUUGUUCUCCACCACGUACGCUCGAGCUUACGAGGACCCUCUGCCCGUCAAGAAGGAGAAGCACCGUGACCUUAUGACAAUGCUAGCCUACAAGCCAGCGAAGGCCCACGCAUUUUAUGACACAUUAGAAUGUGAAGAGUCGCAUGGUAUGUGUAGGCCAUGUUCAGGGUAAGGUGGGGUAUAUUGUGUUUAUUGUGUAAAAUUAAUCGUAAUAUAUAUGUUUAUUGUUCGUACUGUAUUGUCUGUAUUUGUUCUGUGAUUUACAUUAGCAAAAAAUCCCAAAAUAAAUGGAAAGAAAGAAAUGCUUAAUAUUUUCUUUGAGGUUCUGUUACUAUAUUAAAACUAAGAUAAAGGAAUCAGAUCUCCGGUGGUUUAAAGUGAUAUGAUGAAUUGGACUUAUACUGUUAUUCCACAUUAACUGGACAUAUACCGUUCUUCCACAUUCCAGAAAUUUAAAUUACUCUAACUGUUUAUUUUUAAGAUUGACACUGAAAAAUCUUAUCUCAUUAGAAUUGGGAAGCUUUUGUUGUCUAUCUUCAAGUAAAAUUAAAAAUAUAUAAUAUAAUGUUCACAGUCCAAAUAAAAAAAAAUUAUUAUUCAAAAAUUGAAAAUAUGGACUUAUAUGGUUCUUCGUCUCAAGGCCUCACUUAAUGAUUUAUUUGAAAGCCAGCUGUGGUCAUACAGGACAGAUCGAUCACAGGAAAUACAGAACAGUGGUGGCUUUUCACCACAUUUGUCUCAGUUUGCCAUUCCAGGCUGAGUCAGUGGUAGCUAACAUUAGUGUUAGCUGCAGUUAGCUUCUUUUAGCAACAAGUCCAUCUGGAAACUGUGAAUCACCUCGGUACCGCUGUCGUCAAACUGUCCUCUGUCUGUCUCGGAGGUUGUGUUCACUGGGAGGCUGCUGAGCCCCGUUCAGUUGCACACUAACGGCAGCUACAUUAGCAGUUAGCAGCCAGGCAAAACCAGUCGAUCCAGUUUCAGCCAAAUCACAAAUACAGUUGUGUGUUUGUACAGUGAUAAAGUGAUAACCUCUUUGGUGAACAUGCUGAACAGCAUCUGUCGAGAGAAUAAAGAAAAUACUACCCUUUAGUGAAAGAUGUUUCCUCAAUACCUCGUCUGACAAAGUGAACCUGAAGUCGAACAUCUCUUGCAGCAUUUAUGGUUCGGCUGCAUUUUUCAUGAAAGAGAAGAAUGAGACGUAGAUUUGAUGUGAGAGAGAUGUUUUACAGUUUCUGUCUGAAUGAGUCAUUUUAUCAAUGAGAGUCUUCAUCAUCAUCUCUCAACCAAUUAUUUAUUUGGAUAUUUUAGUGCGUCCGAGCUGAACGAGGUUCUUUUCAGUCACUGUGUGGGGAAAAUCAGCUGUCAAAACGUGAUGGAAAACUAAAAAGUUGCUUUUUGGAAAGAAAACAGUUUUCAAAUAAUAAAUGAUGAAGUCUUUCUACCUGAACGCACAAACGCUCUUCAGGAGCUGUUGUCCUUUGAAAGUACCUGAAGGAUCUGUGUUGAAUGUGGUUUUAAUUUGAAGGAACGCUGCGCGCCGACGCUCCCAGUGGUGUGAGACAGAAGCUAUCAAUCAUUCAACCUUGGUUUCAUUUGUUUAUGGUAAUUAUAGCGAGGUAUCAGUCGGUGUGACACUGAUUAAUUGAUGAUUAAAAAUGCAACAUAUAGCACAUUAAGAUUAAUUUCAGAUCAAUUAAGCAUCAGGGUGAAUAUUACAGGAUGUUUUCUGGGGUCAACGGUUUAAUGUGACCAUCAAACACACGCUUACAUGAUGCAUUUAUAGAUAAUGUAGCACGUUAGCACAUUGCGAUUGACUGUACUGAGCAUGUGCAGCUCUCAACAGAGAUUUCCCAUCAGCAUAAAAACUUUAUACGUAUUUCAGCUUUUUACAGAAGCUGUGAUGUUUGCUGUAUUUAGUGGAAUCCAUUCUUCCAUCCACCCGUGCAAUGUUUCCUGUGCCACUGGCUGUAACACAAGCACACAAUAGAUCCGUUGAACAUGGGGGUGAACAUGUUUAACAGUCGGUGAGGUGUUUGUUUGAUGAGUUGCUGCUGCUUUUUUCUUCAAACCUCCCGUUGCUGAUUGAGUUUUCUCGACCUCCACAGCUCCCUAAACUGCCUUCUCUAAAUUACAUUUCACACUGUGGAAACUGCAAGCUGACAACGCUUUGCUGUCUUCUUGUAGUCCUUCAGUAACUUUCAUUUUUGUACAGAGCUGCUGAGAGGAAGCCAUGGUUGCUG
rnacentral:lncRNA from 15 species